ensembl:lncRNA
GGGGAUUAACGAUAUCCCCUCAAUUCAAUUACCCCUACCUAGAAGCAUGCAGGAUUAUUUAGAUGCAUUAUCAUUUUUAAGUGGGAGAGCUUUCCAGCAGCCUGAUGGCUCAUACAAAUCCACCCGUGGAGAAGGAUGGGAUGCACACAGCGUUAAUGAUUGUUACCCUAAACUACAAGGCCUAUUUUUUCCCGCUAACUCUGUGAUAAUCAAAUAAUAAUCCAGCUAAUUACUGACCAGGGAAAGCACAUUGACAGAUCUGCCCGCAAACCUGCUGCCAGCACUGCUGUUCCCAAACGGAGAUGGAAAUGGAAGGAGGGAAGGAUCACUUCAGCUGUCAGCAGGCAGCGGCUGAGCAGGCUGAUAAACGUGCAGCAGGCAGCUCGGCGGCCCCCGGCACCCAGCAGCUCCGAGCUGGGCAGUGUCUGCGCCGGAUCCCGCACUGAGCGUGGAAGACGGGAUAACCCAUCGCUUUAUUCUUUCAGACGGGUCUCCCACGCUCUGCCACUCCGCACGUUGGUGGCAUUGUCCCCGGCUCCGGGCUCCAAGGGAUCCACUUCCAGAUAAGAGUUACCGGCAGGGAGGGCACGCAGCGG